UACGGGGGGGGCAAGCGUUGUUCGGAAUUACUGGGCGUAAAGGGCUCGUAGGCGGCCAACUAAGUCAUACGUGAAAUCCCUCGGCUUAACCGGGGAACUGCGUCUGAUACUGGAUGGCUUGAGAUUGGGAGAGGGAUGCGGAAUUCCAGGUGUAGCGGUGAAAUGCGUAGAUAUCUGGAGGAACACCGGUGGCGAAGGCGGCAUCCUGGACCAUAACUGACACUGAUAAGCGAAAGCCAGGGGAGCAAACGGG
rnacentral:rRNA from 1 species